rnacentral:rRNA from 1 species
UACGUAGGGUCCGAGCGUUGUCCGGAAUUACUGGGCGUAAAGAGCUCGUAGGUGGUUUGUCGCGUUGUUCGUGAAAACUCACAGCUUAACUGUGGGCGUGCGGGCGAUACGGGCAGACUUGAGUACUGCAGGGGAGACUGGAAUUCCUGGUGUAGCGGUGGAAUGCGCAGAUAUCAGGAGGAACACCGGUGGCGAAGGCGGCAUCCUGGACCAAUUCUGACGCUGAGGAGCGAAAGCCAGGGGAGCAAACGGG